rnacentral:rRNA from 1 species
GUACACACCGCCCGUCAAGUCAUGGGAGUUGGCUUGACCCGAAGCCGGUGCGCUAACCUUCGGGAGGCAGCCGACCACGGUCAGGUCAGCGACUGGGGUGAAGUCGUAACAAGGUAGCCGUAGGUGAACCUGCAGAAGGAUCA